UACGGGAGGCAGCAGUAGGGAAUCUUCCACAAUGGGCGAAAGCCUGAUGGAGCAACGCCGCGUGGGUGAAGAAGGUCUUCGGAUCGUAAAACCCUGUUGUUAGAGAAGAAAGUGCGUGAGAGUAACUGUUCACGUUUCGACGGUAUCUAACCAGAAAGCCACGGCUAACUACGUGCCAGCAGCCGCGGUAAUACGUAGGUGGCAAGCGUUAUCCGGAUUUAUUGGGCGUAAAGGGAACGCAGGCGGUCUUUUAAGUCUGAUGUGAAAGCCUUCGGCUUAACCGGAGUAGUGCAUUGGAAACUGGGAGACUUGAGUGCAGAAGAGGAGAGUGGAACUCCAUGUGUAGCGGUGAAAUGCGUAGAUAUAUGGAAGAACACCAGUGGCGAAAGCGGCUCUCUGGUCUGUAACUGACGCUGAGGUUCGAAAGCGUGGGUAGCAAACAGGAUUAGAUACCCUGGUAGUCCACGCCGUAAACGAUGAAUGCUAAGUGUUGGAGGGUUUCCGCCCUUCA
rnacentral:rRNA from 1 species